rnacentral:rRNA from 1 species
GAUGAACGCUGGCGGCGUGCCUAAUACAUGCAAGUCGAGCGAACGGACGAGAAGCUUGCUUCUCUGAUGUUAGCGGCGGACGGGUGAGUAACACGUGGAUAACCUACCUAUAAGACUGGGAUAACUUCGGGAAACCGUAGCUAAUACCGGAUAAUAUUUUGAACCGCAUGGUUCAAAAGUGAAAGACGGUCUUGCUGUCACUUAUAGAUGGAUCCGCGCUGCAUUAGCUAGUUGGUAAGGUAACGGCUUACCAAGGCAACGAUGCAUAGCCGACCUGAGAGGGUGAUCGGCCACACUGGAACUGAGACACGGUCCAGACUCCUACGGGAGGCAGCAGUAGGGAAUCUUCCGCAAUGGGCGAAAGCCUGACGGAGCAACGCCGCGUGAGUGAUGAAGGUCUUCGGAUCGUAAAACUCUGUUAUUAGGGAAGAACAUAUGUGUAAGUAACUGUGCACAUCUUGACGGUACCUAAUCAGAAAGCCACGGCUAACUACGUGCCAGCAGCCGCGGUAAUACGUAGGUGGCAAGCGUUAUCGGGAAUUAUUGGGCGUAAAGCGCGCGUAGGCGGUUUUUUAAGUCUGAUGUGAAAGCCCACGGCUCAACCGUGGAGGGUCAUUGGAAACUGGAAAACUUGAGUGCAGAAGAGGAAAGUGGAAUUCCAUGUGUAGCGGUGAAAUGCGCAGAGAUAUGGAGGAACACCAGUGGCGAAGGCGACUUUCUGGUCUGUAACUGACGCUGAUGUGCGAAAGCGUGGGGAUCAAACAGGAUUAGAUACCCUGGUAGUCCACGCCGUAAACGAUGAGUGCUAAGUGUUAGGGGGUUUCCGCCCCUUAGUGCUGCAGCUAACGCAUUAAGCACUCCGCCUGGGGAGUACGACCGCAAGGUUGAAACUCAAAGGAAUUGACGGGGACCCGCACAAGCGGUGGAGCAUGUGGUUUAAUUCGAAGCAACGCGAAGAACCUUACCAAAUCUUGACAUCCUUUGACAACUCUAGAGAUAGAGCCUUCCCCUUCGGGGGACAAAGUGACAGGUGGUGCAUGGUUGUCGUCAGCUCGUGUCGUGAGAUGUUGGGUUAAGUCCCGCAACGAGCGCAACCCUUAAGCUUAGUUGCCAUCAUUAAGUUGGGCACUCUAAGUUGACUGCCGGUGACAAACCGGAGGAAGGUGGGGAUGACGUCAAAUCAUCAUGCCCCUUAUGAUUUGGGCUACACACGUGCUACAAUGGACAAUACAAAGGGCAGCGAAACCGCGAGGUCAAGCAAAUCCCAUAAAGUUGUUCUCAGUUCGGAUUGUAGUCUGCAACUCGACUACAUGAAGCUGGAAUCGCUAGUAAUCGUAGAUCAGCAUGCUACGGUGAAUACGUUCCCGGGUCU